CGUAAACGAUGCCAGCCAGCGAUCCGCCGAUGUUCCUUUGAUGACUCGAUGAGCUUCCCCGGGAAACCAAAGCUUUUCGGU
rnacentral:misc_RNA from 13 species